AUGCGUUGCCGCACCAGACUCGGCCUCCUUCCUAUUCUUUCGUCGAUCUCCCUCGACUUGGUCUUCGUACGUCGAGAUCGAGAGAGGCUCUUACCUGGGAGGCUGGGAGAGAGCAGUCAGGCAGCGGCGAUGACUCGAAGCACAGUCCGACGGUGGCGGCUAGCGCGACGCCCGCAGCCACCUCACACUCCCUCGAUCUUCAUCCUAUUAGCUUUCGCCACUGUCACGCCGGUCCAGGCCCUGCCUCUGCCCGAGGCCAUGCUAGGGCGCCGCCACCCACCUCAUCCCCUUUGCACACCCAAUCUCUCUUUCAGAUUCAGACCCAGGCUGCUCAUCGGUGUCGAUCCCCAGCCGAAGCAUGAACAUCGAUCCAGGCAGGCCUCCUCUACGAAUUCAGCCACUGGGGCAUGGCUCCCCUGCGGUUUGAAUCUGGGCGCUCGUCAACAGAGCAGCCAGAGAGGUGAGCUCUGGCUUUGGAUGCGUGGAGGGUAG
rnacentral:rRNA from 1 species